rnacentral:tRNA from 1 species
GAAAAAGUACGCAAGAACUGCUAAUUCAUGCUCCCGUGCAUAAAAGCAUGGCUUUUUCA